CAUGGAGCCACAAGCUCGCAUCACUUCCGAUCCGUCUAGUCACCAACGCCGUUGUGGGGGAAGACCAGAGCCGAGGCAAGGAGCAACGCCGAGAGGAAGAGAAGGAGCUGCGCCACAUCGUCGUCCAGCCAUUGUCCGACCCGCCAUCACCGGCAUUUCGCUGCCGUCACUGCAGAGGCCAAACGCCAUCGAACUUUCUGCCACCAACUUGGGGUCCGUCGUUGUCAAGACCGUUAGGAGAGAGAGACAGGGCCGAACCUGUGCAUCCGAGAGAGAAGGGUGGAUGUUGUUCGCACUGUCGUACCAUCAUCACGGCCAGGAUCCGUCGCCACCGCCGUGAGCCGUUGCUGUUGUCUUAGUGGUCGCCAUCACCAUGAGUAAAGUCUGCUGCUGUACUAGAACCUCUGUCGCCAUGGGUAUUGCUAUUAGGGUCGCUGGAAACCAAUGUUGGAGCUGCCCUUAAUGAUUCUGAUUCUGCUACAUAAGUUAUGAGAUGCUGUGUUGUUGCUGGAGGAAGAGAACUCGUAAAAAAAUGUCAUCGGGGCUGCUGUUUGGUUUGAUUGCCUUGUUAAUGCGAUACUAAGUGAUACAGGUUCGAAGACUCAGUUUGGAGCUGCGGGCGAUUGUUAGACCUUUUUUAUGAGUUAAGUUUUUGAAUUGAAUUGCUUUCAUAGAGUUCCCUCGCCCUUAUUGC